UCCCCCUCAUGUUAGGAAAACUAACUUGUUUCCUCAACUCUGGGAAAUCAUCUUUGUGCAUAUCAUGUUAAUAUACACAGCACAUUAAUAAUAAUAAAAUGAAAUUAUUUGGUUCCUGACCCUGAACCACGUGUGAGGGGAGAAUAUAAUAUACUCUCGUGUAUAGCGUAUAUCAAAUUGAUAUAGAUAACUUUGUUCUCAUAAGCAAUAAUUUAGCUAUUAAAUGGAGGCACUCAAUAAAUUAUUUUGCUAAACCAACUUUUCAAGAUGAACUAUCUUGAAUAGGAAAUCUGGAAAUUAUGCUCGAAAUUACAUUACUGAGCAAUUUACCUCGCAAGCACCGGCCAGGUUGCAGGUUAAUAAUAAUCGCACAUGU
rnacentral:lncRNA from 1 species